UAGUAAAAAUUUCAUGUAUUUCUAUUAUUAAAAACUGGCCCUGAUAACAGAAUAACCAAAAAGUUACAUGUGGCAUGUCAGGUGUACCUCAUUCUGACUUAUAGGGACUAAUUUUUAAUAAUAAAAAUGGAUAGAAUUUUUAACA
rfam:Gossypium hirsutum cultivar TM-1 chromosome 5, whole genome shotgun sequence